rnacentral:lncRNA from 14 species
CUUUCUGAGCUGCAUGCGUAAGAGAAUUAAUGCUUGUAAACUUAAAAUAGUUUGUCUUUCAGGAUGACAGAAACCAGAUAAGUGGCAGAAUUUUACUACAGACUCUACCAGAGACCUGAUUAAAGCCAUCCAAAUCUGGGGCUGCAGACACUCCUUGAGCGGGUGUUUAUUGUGACCACCUGAGAUCUCAGUUGCCACCAGAGUGUGCAACAGGUUCUACUGGUUGAAAAGUUAAAACGAGAAAACACUGGGUGGAAGCUAAAAAUAGUGUGAAGAGGUCGAUUGGUGUGAACCAACACAUGAGUCUUUUUUCCAAGAGGAGAAUUUAAAGCAGUACAGGCUCUUGAUGGAUAGGCAUAUCCAAGAGUGGAUCUAAGGAGCUGCUAACCACCAGGAAAGGAUGAACAUGGAGCUGGAGGCAGUGACCGCUGCAGCUGAAGGAAAGCUUCCAAUACUACUCACUACAGUGACAGCGCAGUGAUUUGCAUGAAGCAG